rnacentral:rRNA from 1 species
CGUAGGGGCCGAGCGUUGUCCGGCUUUCUUGGGCGUAAAGGGCGCGUAGGCGGUCACGCACGUCCGUUGUGAAAUCGCUCGGCUCAACUGGGCGGGGUCAGCGGAUACGGCGUGGCUGGAGCAAGCUAGGGGGCAAUGGAAUUCCCGGUGUAGUGGUGGAAUGCGUAGAUAUCGGGAGGAACACCAGUGGCGAAGGCGGUUGCCUGGAGCUUUGCUGACGCUGAUGCGCGAAAGCGUGGGGAGCGAUCCGG